GAUAAUUAGUUGAAAUGUGAUAUGGAAAUUGUUUUGGUUUUUUCUUUCUGGAAAAUAUAUAUAUUUGUGAGAUCAGUUUUUAUACAAAGUGUUUUAUAUUUUAUAUCAGAUUAAAUCUCAAAGAUACUUUUUCUGGUCUCACCACAAAACAAAGAAAGGAUGUUGAGUUUCACAACACCAGAAAAGAGAAAUGUAAUUAAUGUUUUUAUUAGCUAUAGAUUUAAUAAUCUAAAAGACUAUUAGAUCUCUCUACAACUGCAUUCUUUAAGUAUCACAUUUUGGAAAGUAUGGGUUAAGAGUUUUAUACAUUUCACUUUAAGGAGCUUAGCCUACUAAGAAGAGAAAAAUAAAAGAUACUUUCAGGGACUCCUCUACCUGGCUAGAGAAAUUCAUCCAGCAGAACGUGCUGCUGUGGGACAGACAGCUGCUUAUCUGGCUGGUCCAGCUCAGAGGCAGUAAGUGACUAUCUGGGGAUGGCAAUCUUCCUUCUCCUCCUCAGAUGGCUGUGAAUUUAAUCCCAAAUAACAGCUGGGCUCCUGGUCCAAACCAACUGCUCCCUCUAUAGUCCAGGGAAGAAAUAGGUACUUCUGAAUGGCAGUGAAUGCCAGCAGUCUGUCUUUGCUGGAGUGACAUGUCUUGAUCCCCAAUGGCUCCAGAGGGAACCUUGAUGAGCAGCUUAGCCUGGAUCUCAACCCUGCACCAGCCAACACCAGGUCAGUGGGAGUUCCUGGUGUACCAAACUACUGAAGCCUGGCACAGCACAAAGCAACCACGAUCACUCGGCCUCCUUGGUAUGGAAGGAAAUGUACCGCACAAACAUCAUAAAAACACACCAACCUGAAUUCCACAUGUAUCCUCAGAAGCCUUUGCACCAUUUUCAAGGUGUCCACAAAAGAUAGUAAAGUGGAGAAGACUUAAAAGAAGUCCAAAGAUUUCAGAGUGGUUGUGGCUCACCAACUUCUCUGUCCAAACUCAGGUGAGAUCUGGACCCUCCUUGAAGCUCUCGGUGUUGCUCUGCUCUGGACCAUACAGACGUACCCAUCACCGUGGAGUUCUGGUGAUGCAAAGUUCUGUCAGGUGUGGGUAGGAUACACCCACUCUGAAUGGCAGCUGAGUCCUUCUCCUUAACUAAAAAUGAACAAACCAUACUUACUAUACGAUCAGUUUGCUAUUACUGACAUAACACAAACUAGUGAGGAGCCAAACUGGCUCAUAACAGCAAGAACAUUGUUAAAUCAUCAGUUAAAGACUAGGAACAUUUUUACAAGGGUGGAAUAAAGAUGCUGGGGAAAAAAGCCUUUUUGCCCCC
rnacentral:lncRNA from 1 species